UGAGCCAGUCACAUUGCUGAGGGUCUGGUCUCUGAACCAGUGAUCUUCGAAGAAUGAAGUAGAUUGCCAAUGCUGCAUUGUCUGCUGAUCACAACAUGACCGGAUGAGAUCGGACUUUCGAGGGCAGAUCGCACCAUGCAGUCUCUG